AUGAACGCUGGCGGCGUGCCUAAUACAUGCAAGUCGAGCGAACAGACGAGGAGCUUGCUCCUCUGACGUUAGCGGCGGACGGGUGAGUAACACGUGGAUAACCUACCUAUAAGACUGGGAUAACUUUGGGAAACCGGAGCUAAUACCGGAUAAUAUAUUGAACCGCAUGGUUCAAUAGUGAAAGACGGUUUUGCUGUCACUUAUAGAUGGAUCCGCGCCGCAUUAGCUAGUUGGUAAGGUAACGGCUUACCAAGGCAACGAUGCGUAGCCGACCUGAGAGGGUGAUCGGCCACACUGGAACUGAGACACGGUCCAGACUCCUACGGGAGGCAGAAGUAGGGAAUCUUCCGCAAUGGGCGAAAGCCUGACGGAGCAACGCCGCGUGAGUGAUGAAGGUCUUCGGAUCGUAAAACUCUGUUAUUAGGGAAGAACAAAUGUGUAAGUAACUAUGCACGUCUUGACGGUACCUAAUCAGAAAGCCACGGCUAACUACGUG
rnacentral:rRNA from 1 species